rnacentral:rRNA from 1 species
GAUGAACGCUAGCUACAGGCUUAACACAUGCAAGUCGAGGGGUAACGAGAGGAAAGCUUGCUUUCCUUGUCGACGACCGGCGCACGGGUGAGUAACGCGUAUCCAAACUGCCCCCAACUAGGGAAUAACCUUGCGAAAGUAAGACUAAUACCCUCUAAUUUCCUCAGAUGUCAUCUGACGAGGAAUAAAGUUCUAUCGGUUGUUGUGGGGGAUGCUUCUGAUUAGCUUGUUGGCGGGGUAACGGCCCACCAAGGCAACGAUCAGUAGGGGUUCUGAGAGGAAGGUCCCCCACAUUGAAACUGAGACACGGUCCAAACUCCUACGGGAGGCAGCAGUGAGGAAUAUUGGUCAAUGGGCGGAAGCCUGAACCAGCCAAGUAGCGUGCAGGUGACGGCCCUAUGGGUUGUAAACUGCUUUUAUACAGGAAUAAAGUUAGCCACGUGUGGUUAUUUGUAGGUACUGUAUGAAUAAGGACCGGCUAAUUCCGUGCCAGCAGCCGCCGUAA